AUCAGAUUCCUCCAGCACCGAGAGAACUCAGUCUUGUUUCCAUCGCAUCACCUGAUCCACCCACUCCUUUGGACCAAGAUGGCCUCCAGAUGGGACCUAUGCUCUUUCAACUGCCCUCCCACCACCGUGACCAUCCAGCCACCCCCCUUCUGCCUCAGUAUCCCAGGACCUUCUCUUCACUGUCCAGACCAGCCUCUUUGCAUUGAGCAGUGCAACCCUUGUGUUCCUCUUCCCUUUCGUGGGCCUUUAUCCCUCCCCUCAAGUGGGAGCAGUGCAGCCAGCAUUUAUUCUCAGAAGUCCCAGCAACAGCAACAGCAGCAGCAACAUCACCAACGAUUCUAAGCGUUGAUGUUCUACACCCCAGGAACAAGACAAAGGAUGGACCAGCUUAAGAGAAAAAACAGAUCACCAAGAACCAACGAAGAACAUCUUGAUGGCUGAAAGAUUUCACAAGAAGAUCAGAACCUCCACAUGCUGUCCUUAGAAAUUGCUCUUCCCCAUGGCAUUUUCUGAAGGACUUCAAGUUGGGGAACGCCAUUCCUUUAGAUCUGGGAUGCAUCUGCAUUUGGGCUCUCCAAAGAUUCUUCACUCACCCUGGAGGGAAUUGGGUUUCAUGCUUGCGUGGUUUUGAUGGGACUGCUUUCUUUGCUGUAAAACUGACGUCUGGAAUAUUAGCUCUGCUUUCCCCCCCACCCAAUAAAAUCUUUAUUGCAUUCAAA